rnacentral:rRNA from 1 species
GAUGAACGCUGGCGGCGUGCCUAAUACAUGCAAGUCGAGCGAACAGAUGAGGAGCUUGCUCCUCUGACGUUAGCGGCGGACGGGUGAGUAACACGUGGAUAACCUACCUAUAAGACUGGGAUAACUUCGGGAAACCGGAGCUAAUACCGGAUAAUAUAUUGAACCGCAUGGUUCAAUAGUGAAAGACGGUUUUGCUGUCACUUAUAGAUGGAUCCGCGCCGCAUUAGCUAGUUGGUAAGGUAACGGCUUACCAAGGCAACGAUGCGUAGCCGACCUGAGAGGGUGAUCGGCCACACGGGAACUGAGACACGGUCCAGACUCCUACGGGAGGCCGCAGUAGGGAAUCUUCCGCAAUGGGCGAAAGCCUGACGGAGCAACGCCGCGUGAGUGAUGAAGGUCUUCGGAUCGUAAUACUCUGUUAUUAGGGAAGAACAAAUGUGUAAGUAACUAUGCACGUCUUGACGGUACCUAAUCAGAAAGCCACGGCUAACUACGUG